AACGAACGCUGGCGGCAGGCCUAACACAUGCAAGUCGAACGCCGUAGCAAUACGGAGUGGCAGACGGGUGAGUAACGCGUGGGAAUAUACCCUUCGGUUCGGAAUAACUCAGGGAAACUUGAGCUAAUACCGGAUACGUCCGAGGUUUUAAUCGACCUUGGAGAAAGAUUUAUCGCCGGAGGAUUGGCCCGCGUCUGAUUAGCUUGUUGGUGAGGUAAUGGCUCACCAAGGCGACGANCAGUAGCUGGUCUGAGAGGAUGAUCAGCCACAUUGGGACUGAGACACGGCCCAAACUCCUACGGGAGGCAGCAGUGGGGAAUAUUGGACAAUGGCGAAAGCCUGAUCCAGCCAUGCCGCGUGAGUGAUGAAGGCCUUAGGGUUGUAAAGCUCUUUACCCGGGAAGAUAAUGACGGUACCGGGAGAAUAAGCCCCGGCUAACUUCGUGCCAGCCGCCGCCGUAAC
rnacentral:rRNA from 1 species